rnacentral:lncRNA from 1 species
CUUGAAUCUGAAGGCAAAUGGGGAGUCCCUCCACCACUUGAAAAUGGAUCAGCAAAUGGUAUGCCCACCGCUCCAUCUAUUGGAGCUUCAGGCUCCGAUCAAGCACCAAGAUGACAAAGAAGCCUCUAAGCAAACAGUCUUGUGUCUUGUUUUGUUGAAUCUUGCCCAAAUUUCAGUUCAGACGGACGAGCAAAUGUUCGUUCUAGGAGACUAACCAGAAUCCUCCAAGUCAAAAGAUGAAGUGUAUGUAACACCCCAAAGAUUUGUUUUUCUUUGCAAUCGAAAGGGAAGGUGAAAUCUUCAGUGGAGCUAGGAGUCUCAGUGUAAUAGUCACAGCUUAAGAUUUGACUUGUUUUUUACACCAAUGUUGUGGCUUUCGUUUGUGGUAAUCUAUUAGCUACAGGACAUAAUUUAGCUCAGUACUCUCCAACAUGUAAAUUUCCAACUCGUGAGGUAAGAUGUAAUGUAAAAUGAACACUUUACUCUUUAUAUUCCUUAGUGUAGUGAGGAAUUCCUCCUAUCAGCUUUUUAUUUCGUAUGAUUCUUGAAUUGGAUUUUGGCAAGUCUCACCUCUUUAAGGGUCAACUUAUUAUGAACAACAAUCUGUGUUGUUUCUUUAAUAUCCAGUGACUGUCAUAACUGCUUCAAUCAUUUUCCUCUGAAAAUGGUGCUAAUUCAAUAUCCUCUGAUUUGGCUCAUAGAAGAAUUUCAUGAGAAAAGACGACACUCAUGUCAAAUCUGAGCUCUGAGCGGAUAACCAUAUUAAUUAUCAAUUCUGCCACCCCGAUAAGUAACAAUAAAAAUAAAUGUGAUAUUUAGACUAACAAUACAAAUGAAUAACUGUAGUAUAGUUUAGUUGAUUAUGGAUGAGAAUUUGAUUCCUCACAUUGCUCCUUCGUUUUCCCUUCCCCAAAUGUUUUUUUUAACCUUAGCCUACCCCCCACCAGAAGCAGUAGCAUGAUGGCGCAACACCAAAUUCAGAAUUCAGAAGUAGUUGCUGUUUCUUACAAAUUCAUGACAUUCUUCAUCCACAUUUUCCCUCAUAUUCGCAAUACCAGAGAAGCUUCAUCUAUCAUCUAUGGCAUGGCAGACCAAGAUACACGCAAGAAUGACAUCUACACAAACUUCAACAGACAAAUUAUUUACGUACAAUUCAAAAAAUAACAUAUUUAGGGUUUUGAAAACAUCCGGGUGUUGUGCAAUUUGAUACAACUAAAAAUCGAUUUUUGGCAGCUGAUGACGAUUUCUCAAUUAAAUUAUGGGAUAUGGACCAUGUUCAACUCCUGACAAGUAUUGAUGCUGAUGGAGGCCUUCCAGUAAGUUUAUGUUGAGGUUCACUGAGAAAAUUGUGGUAUUGUAUACUAUAUUCUAACUGCUUUUUUCUUUUAUAUCAAUAAAUUAUUCAAGGCAAACCCUCUAAUUCGAUUCACCAAGGAUGGUUCUCUAUUGGCUGUUUCUGCUAAUGAAAAUGGGAUAAAGAUUUUGGCAGAUAAUGACGGUAUUUGCUUCCGGGGCAUCUGAAACUGCAAAGGUACUUGUUACUCAGUUAAUAUAAAUCUUGAGGUUCCAUUUUUUCUUUACACAAACAUGACCAGGUGUCCUUUGCUUUAAUAUCAUGCAGCCUACAGUAAAUCCAAUAUCCAUAGCAUCAGCAAAUAAUUCUGGAUUUGCAGAUAGGGUGGCCUCUGUUGUUGGCAUCAGUGGAAUGGUUUGUAAAUUUAACUCCCAUAAUGUGAUUUGGAAUAACUUCUUGUUUGUUGUCAUCAGGGCGCAUGUUCAUGGAGAAAAUAUAUAUAAGCAUACAAACUCACAUUAUAAUUGUAGUUGUAUAUAGUCAAUUUUUUUUCACCUUUUAUCUUUUAAUUAAUUAAUACUGGUAUAACCUUUUCUCACUUGUUUAAAUCUCAUUUUUUGUUUACCAUUAUGUGUUGUUUUAUUCGUAUCGUUUAUAUUUAUAAAAUUCAAUGCAACAAAAUCUUUUUAUAAUUUCAUGCGUAUCAAGCAGUUGUUGAAUAAAAGUAUAGUAGAAACUGUACUUAAAUUAAACUAACAUAUAUCUUCCUUAUAAUGCUAAAUACAAUAUCUGUAGCAUCAGCAAACAAUUCUGCAGAUAGGGUGGACUGGCCUCUGUGUUGGCAUCAGUGGAAUGGUUUGCAAAUUUAACCCCCUAAAUGUGAUUUGGAAAUAAGUUCUUGUUUGUUGUUAUCAGGUCACAGGUCCAUGGAAAAAAUAUAUAUGAAACAUACUUCACUUUUUCCAUAAACUAGUUUUUGGACACGUGCAUUGCAAGUGUUUCUCAUGGUAAUUACUAAGUAAUUAACAAAUCACGUUAUAAUUUGUAGUUGUAUAUAGUCAAACUUUUUCACCUUUUGUCUCAAGAACCAGAUUAAUAUGUGCAUUUAAUAGUUGUUCUAUGUUCACUGUUUCAAAACCAAUGCCUUUGAUUUGAUUUAUAUGAAAUAGCAAGGUUGCAUAUUAGAAACAACCAUCGUUGAAAUAGCAAGGUUGCACCACUGGAAAGGUUUUCAUUACUUUUAUAAAAGUAUAUAUAAUUAAGAGAAAAAAAAUAAUAGCGAGUGCUUCUUAAUUUACUAACACUUAAAUAAAGAACAAUAUACAAUUUGAUGAAUGUCCAUAUGUUCUUACCUGAUGUGGGGUGCCCGUUUGAAGAUCCGGCUAAUUCAGAUUUGCUCAUGAAAGUUUCACUUUGAUAGUAAUCAUUGACAGUUCUCUAUUCCCAAAGUUCAAAUCCAGAAUUUUGUUAAGGGUGGAGGGGUACCUGCCGGCCCACCACAACAUUUGAUGGUAAUACUAACAGGAAUUAACACAGAAGAAAAUGAAAACAACAGCUUUAAUGGCAUUCCUUUGUUGUUUAUUCUGGAAAAUUCUUAUAUUACAAGCUACUUCUCUUUCCUCCAUUGUUUAAAUACCGAUUGUGAGAUAAGACAAAUUUAGAUGAAAGUAAACUUUUCAAAGGUAAUGCUUAUAUAUAAAAAUCUUUCUAUUUUAAAGAGAAGAAAUUAUUUUUCAUGUUAUUCUGCACAUUUCUUAGAUUAAUCUCACCAAAUAUUUAUUCCUUGUAGGCUGUAGUGAUAUUAGGGCUGUUGGAAAGCAAGGUAUGGGUGGAGUAUUUAUCUUCCACUUUUUCCUGUCUAUAUUUUUCCAAAUGAUAAAAAUGAAAGAGAUGGAAGCUUAUGUUUUUGCUUUUGCUGAAGAAGCUAGGGAGAGGGGACAAUAAUGGUAAAUUUGUAGGGAUAAGUCACGUGCAUGGCAUAUUUUCUGUUUGAAGCUGUUAGUUUUUGACAGAAAACUAAGAGAGGGAUGUAACUUGUAACUUCUAGGAUAGUUCAAGGAUGUUAUUUGUUCAUUGUUAUAAUAUGAGGAUGUAGUUUAAGUUUGGAUUAUAAUUGAGAGAUGUUUUUGGCCAUUUACUCUAAGUUGGUAUGUAAUGACUUCCUUGAACGGAUGAAACCAUUCCUUUUUUGUAUUCAUUACAAUUUCAGUUUUGGAGGUAAAAAAAGGCAUGUAAGAUUAAUGGUAUAAUAAUAACUUAUAUAAGCACUUAUUACAUUUUUUUGACGAAGUAAAUCAAAAGUUUAAAUUGUACUUCUCUGUGUGAUUCUUACAAUGUAUAUUUACAUAUUUACAAAACAAGGUAAUUGUAAUAAUGCUUGCACGAAGGGAAACUGUUGUUCAACUUUUGAUGGCUAUUUUGGUCUUUUUCCUUUUACCUUUUAAGGGAAUCAUUCCUCCUGUCAUUGACGCCUCGCCGUUCUUCAACAACUUUAGGGUUCCAAAUUGAACUUCAAAUCUGUUGAAUUAACUCCAAACAAUGGCGUCGCAUGUAAGUUCUUCUUUCCUUUUCAAUUUUAAGAUUUUCUUGUCUAAUAGUAAUCACUGUAUUUCAUUUGCAUAUCUGUAAUCAUAGAUUUUCUUUGUUAUUCAGUGUUUGUAACUAUAUGUUGUUCAAUUUGCCUCUGUAUCUCUUUUGCUCUCUUAUUUCCUUAUAUCGUGCUUUGAAUUCAAUUUUGCUUUUGAGCCGAUGGUCUAUCGAAAACCUCUCUACCCUCCCCAUACCCCACUUUGUGGGAUUGCACUGCAUAUGUUGUUGUUGUUGUAACUUUUAGGUUUGAGGCUUCCUACUUAUAGAAUAAGAUAGAUAUAUAAGAUGGAUAGAUAGAUACUCAUUAGGUUUUAAAAUGGAGGACACACCAAGAAGUCUUGUCUUGUCUGCUUUCAUGUCAAUAUCAUUUACUAACAUGUAUUUUACAUUCUACUGGCUUUGAUAGAAUGAAGAUGCAGGAAAUGUAACACCCCAGCUUAAUGUAGAGCCUAAUGACGAAUCUAAGAUGUGGAGGCUCACUGAAAUUAGAGAAUCAUCACAGUACCGGUCCUUGAAGCUUCCUGAAAAUCUUGGAGUGACUAAGGUAUUAUCCCCAUGUCUCUUGAUUCAUGAAAUAUCUUAUUGUGUUUGUUAUAUCAUUUUCAAAACUCGGAAACUUUUCCAUUGAACAUACAGAUAGCGGAUAAUUCAUGUAUAAAAUGAGAUGGAAGACUUUUUCAGUGAACAUGUUAAGGUUGGAAAUUUUAGUGUUUCUCACGAUGCCUUUGUGCACGAUCUGAUAUGAUCAAGGCACGUGACAUCAAAACAUGCCAUCAUCAAAUAAAAUUGUUAGUGUUAAGCUGAGUGGAAAUGAACCAUAUGAUCCAACAGUGUUGUGCUUCUCUUUUCAUAUGAAUGUGAGUUCUCCUGUUUGGGAGGGAAGGGUUCUUAGUUUCGCGUCCAUCUCUUUUCUCUAUCUUGGUCACCGGAUGUGAUUCUAUUGAUGUGAAAUUAAAAUUCCAAAGAAGGUGAACUUUCAGAAUGUCAUGGGAAGCUUAAGGCCUCCUAAAUGAGGUCUAGCACCUAUACAUUUUGUGUUUUAGUCUCUUUUCUUUUCCGUAAUAGAUUUUUCAACUUACAGUAAAGAGGAGUGGAUGUUCAAGUAUCACUUUCUGCACCUUCAGAGAUCCGUCUGUCGAUUUCCUUCGAGAUUGUCUAAUCAGAGCAGAAGGCCUCUAAAGUUUGUGUGCAAUGAUUUGACAACUUUAAUAGUGUCCAACUUUUGACUAGCAAUAGUAACUAAACGUCUGCAUGGUAUUUCAAGUUCACGUCUUGAGUGCUUUCUACUGAAUUGUAGCCAUGUUCCUUCCCCUUACCCCACAAUCUGGAAGCUGUUGUGUUCCGACUUUCUCUGACUGCACAACAUGGAUGUGAGGGCAUUGUAAUCAGAAUAUCAGAUAUUGAACAGAAAAUUUCACAGUGAAUUCUUACUAGGAAACAAUACUUAGCUGGAGAGUUUGUUUAGUUGUCAAUAUUUGUUCCCUGGUUUCAACUGUAUUAGUUUUGAUGAUACAGUUUCUGGUUAUGAUUCAAUUUGUUUACUCCAGAUAUCAAGCUUAAUAUAUACGAGCUCUGGUAAUGUUAUCUUAGCAUUAGCAUCAAAUGCUAUUCACCUGCUUUGGAAGUGGCAAAAAAAUGAGCGCAAUUCAAAGGGCAAGGUAAAUUGGACACAAAAAUCGUGGCUUUCCUCCAUUUUGUACAGAAGUGAUUCUGAGAAUUGUGUCAAUCUUUGUUUAGGCCACGGCCAGUGUUUCACCACAACUGUGGCAACCUUCAAGUGGCAUCUUAAUGACAAAUGAUGUGCACGAACCAAACCAUGAGGAAGCUGUCUGUUGCUUUGCUUUGUCCAAGAAUGAUGCCUAUGUGAUAUCAACAUCUGGUGGAAGGAUGUCCUUGUUCAACAUGAUGGCAUUCAAGGUAUUACAAGAUUUUCUUUUUAUUUCUACCCUUGACUCAAAGAUCCUGUGCUGAAUUAUUAUCUUAUGGAUGCAGAGAGUGAGAACUUUCAUGCCUCCACCUCCAGCAGCAACUUAUAUUGUUUUCCAUCCUCAAGAUAACAACAUUAUCGCUAUUGGCAUGGGUGAUUCUACCAUCCAGAUAUAUAAUGUCCGACUGGAUGUGGUAUGAUUAAGAUAAACAAGAAGUUUUUGUUGUUAUUGUCAGUCAUCAGAAAAUGUAAUGUUCUUGGCCCAGUUACCAUAUAUUGUUAUUGACUAGAUCUGAGUCUCUUGAUGAAGGUUAAAAUCAAGCUUAAAGGCCACUCUAAAAGGAUAACUGGCCUUGCCUUCUCUCAUGUGCUCAAUGUGCUAGUUUCCUCAGGAGCUGAUUCUCAGGUUAAUGACUUAUAUGCUUGGCUAUCAUGUCGUAUUUGACUUACUUCUCAGUGUUUUGUUAAACUAUUCUCACAAUUAAUGUGGAAAAUACAUGUGUAUAAUAGAUUGCAUUUUCUCUCCUAACGAUUUUGCAUAUUGUGCAUCAUACACUCUCCAUCCCAUUCAAUGUUAAGCCAAUCAAAUAGGCAUGGGAAUUAGAAGUAAUUUCACUGCAUGUCAUAUUUGAUGAUGAUAAAGGUGAAAAUUUUGAAUAAUCAAACAUGAAGUUGUUGUUUUGAAAGUGUUUCAAGCAUUUUGGAAGAAAACAAAAUCUAAACUAUAUAGCCUACAGAUGAGCCAAGUAUAUUGUAGGUUAUCUCCUUUUGCAUAAUCUCCUCUCUGCAGUCAUGAAUCAUGAUUAGUUUUUGGAUUUUUAACGUCUUUUACUGGUAACUAAUGCUAAGCCUACAUCCACAUCUCAAAUGAUCAUUAAUCUGUAAAAAAUUACACUCUGCAUUUCUGACACUCUUUAAAGGGAUAAUUAUUUAUAUUUCUCUUUGCUCUUUCUUAUCCUUUUGUAUUCAUCAACAUCAUCUGCUUUUGUACAGCUGUGUGUAUGGAGCACUGUUGGGUGGGAAAUGCAGAGGGCUAAAUCCUUGCAGUUACGGGGGCAAUCAAUAUCUCAAUCAGAUACCAGAGUGCAGUUUCAUCAGGAUCAAACUCAUUUCCUUGUUGUGCAUGAGGCACAGAUUGCAGUAUAUGAAACAGCAAAGUUGGAAUGUUUUAAGCAGGUUAGUCCUCUCCCGGACUACAGUUGGUUAUUAAAUGCAGUCAGAUCUCAACAACUAAUACUUUAUAUCUUCUUCUACAGUGGGUUCCGCGUGAAAGUGAUGCCCCAAUUUCUCAUGCCACAUACUCAUGUGAUAGCCAGCUUAUAUAUGCUAGUUUCUUGGAUGCAACUGUGUGCGUAUUCACUGCCGGGAACCUCCAUAUGCAAUGCUGCAUUAUUCCUUUUGCUUAUCUGUCACCCGGUAUCAGGUAUCUUUUGAAGCCAGCUAACUUAUUUAGGGGUCGUUUGGUAGGGUGUGUAAGAAUAAUGUUGUCAUUAGUAAUGCAAGCAUUAGUUAUGCCGAGAUUUUUUAAUAUGCAAUGUUUGGUUUGGUUCUUUAAAAAUAACACGUAUUGCAUUAUUUAAAAAAAAAAAAAUUGUUUACAAAUUACCCUCCAUCAAUAUGGUGGAAAGGACAUGGAAAAUGUUGAGGGACAAUUGUGUCUUUAACCAUUCGAAUGCAUGCAUUAGAACCCCUUGCAUUGCUAAUACCAUGAAUUUCUAUGUAUUGGUAAUACUUAGCAUAAUACCAAGUAGAGUGUAGUAUUAGUUAUACAUAUAUUGGAAGUGUAUCAAAAAAGGUACUAGUAAUACAUAAAACUAAGACAUGCAUUAUUUUUUCUAAUACACUCUACGAAACAACCUCUUACUGCUUUAAUUUUUAAGAUAUUUUGCUAUCCACUAUUGAAGAGAAGAAAACAUCAUUUUUCUUGUAGUUAGACUUUCAUGAGCUAUAAUAGUGAAAUUGGUAUCAGAACAAUAUCCAGUCCUGAAGUCUGAACUGCUACUAAUCACGGAAAGGUGAAAACCCCCCACAAACUUGGCCAUUGGUACAAAGAUAUGAACCAAUGCAUGGCUACAUUUGAACAUAACGUACAUUUAAUGCAUACAAGAGGACUACAAAAUUAACUAUCCUAGACCAUCUUGCUUUAAAAAAUUGACAUGAAUAUUUCAAAAGAAUUUCAUUUUGCAAUCAUGUAUUUGUAAAAUCAUGUUAUUACAAUGAAGUGGGGCAUCUGAUUGCCAGUAUGAACAUUUCUAGCAUCACUGGAGUAUCCCUCGGAAUAUUAUGUUUCAGGUGUUUGAUUUUUGCAACUUCUCUGCAUAUCCUCGUGUGCAUACAAUAAGUAAAUUUAUGUGUCUGAUAUCCUCAAGAAGUAAUGUCAGGAUACGUAGUCAAUUCACCAAACUGAUUUUAUCUCUGAUAUUUGAAGUAAUUUUUCAAUAACGUUGUCAUAUUUUUGCAGCAAUUCAAAUAUCCACCCAGUUGUAGUUGCAGCACAUCCAGAAGAUCCAAACCAAUUUGCAUUAGGUAUGUCAGAUGGUGGUGUUCAUGUUUUCGAACCACUUGAAUCUGAAGGCAAAUGGGGUGUCCCUCCACCACUUGAAAAUGGCUUUGCAGAAGGUGUACCAGCUGCUCCAUCUAUUGCAGCUUCAGGCUUCGAUCAAGCACCAACAUAACAAAGAAACCUCUAAGCAAACAGUCUCGUGUCUUGGUUUUUUUGGAUCUUACCCAAAUUCCAGUCAAACAUGAGAGGUGUAUGUAACGCCACAAAAAAUUGUGUUCUUUGACUUGGUUUUUACACCAAUGUUAUGCUUUUGUGUGUGGCAAUCCAUUUGCUACAGAACAUAGUUUAGCUCAGUACUCUCCAACAAUUUUUCCUUUCAGCUUUCUAAGAGCGAGUCCCUUUGACUUGUGACGUCU